rnacentral:Y_RNA from 1 species
GGUCGGUCUGCAUGCAGUGGUGUUUACAACUAAUUGAUCACAUUCAGUCACAGAUUCCUUUGUUCCUUCUCCACUCCCACAGCUUCACUUAACUAAAAAA